AGAGUUUGAUCCUGGCUCAGAACGAACGCUGGCGGCGUGCUUAAUACAUGCAAGUCUAACGAGAAAGUACCCUUCGGGGUGCGAGUACAGUGGCGAACGGGUGAGUAACACGUAAGCAACCUGCCCCUAAAUCCGGGACAACCCUGCCAACGCGGGGCUAAUACCGGAUGUGGUCUGGAUCUCGCAUGGGAACCGGAUUAAAGGUGACCUCUUCUUGAAAGUUAUCGUUUAGGGAUGGACUUGCGGACCAUUAGCUUGUUGGCGGGGUAACGGCCCACCAAGGCUGCGAUGGUUAGCCGACCUGAGAGGGUGAUCGGCCACAUUGGGACUGAGAUACGGCCCAGACUCCUACGGGAGGCAGCAGUAGGGAAUUUUGCGCAAUGGACGAAAGUCUGACGCAGCAACGCCGCGUGAGGGAUGACGGCCUUCGGGUUGUAAACCUCUGUUGAGUGGGAAGAACCGCAUCAGGAAUAAUACGCCUGAUGUCUGACGGUACCAUUCGAGGAAGCUCCGGCUAACUACGUGCCAGCAGCCGCGGUAAUACGUAGGGGGCAAGCGUUGUUCGGAAUCACUGGGCGUAAAGGGAGUGUAGGCGGAAUGAUAAGUUAGAAGUUUAAUGCCACGGCUCAACCGUGGACCUGCUUUUAAUACUGUCAUUCUUGAGUAUUGGAGAGGGCGAUGGAAUUCCAGGUGUAGCGGUGGAAUGCGUAGAUAUCUGGAAGAACACCAGUUGCGAAGGCGGUCGCCUGGCAAAUACUGACGCUGAGGCUCGAAAGCUAGGGGAGCAAACAGGAUUAGAUACCCUGGUAGUCCUAGCCGUAAACGAUGGACACUAGUUGCCGGAGGAGUCAAUCCUUUCGGUGACGAAGUUAACGCAUUAAGUGUCCCGCCUGGGGAGUACGCUCGCAAGGGUGAAACUCAAAGGAAUUGACGGGGGCCCGCACAAGCGGUGGAGCAUGUGCUUUAAUUCGAUGCAACGCGAAGAACCUUACCUGGGUUUGACAUGGGAAUGAAAGGUCCUGGAGACAGGAUCCCUUCCUUCGGGAACAUUCUACACAGGUGCUGCAUGGUUGUCGUCAGCUCGUGUCGUGAGAUGUUGGGUUAAGUCCCGCAACGAGCGCAACCCUCGCCCUUAGUUGCCAUCAGGUCAAGCUGGGAACUCUAAGGGGACUGCCUGGAUUAACCAGGAGGAAGGUGGGGAUGACGUCAAAUCAUCAUGGCCCUUACGUCCAGGGCUAGACACGUGCUACAAUGGCAGAUACAACGGGACGCAAGCCCGCGAGGGUAAGCUAAUCUCUCAAAAUCUGUCUCAGUUCGGAUUGGAGUCUGCAACCCGACUCCAUGAAGCUGGAAUCGCUAGUAAUCGCGGAUCAGCAUGCCGCGGUGAAUACGUUCCCGGGCCUUGUACACACCGCCCGUCAAGCCACGAAAGAUGGAAGUGCCCGAAGUCGUUUUCCCCAACUUCGGAGGGGGACGCCGAAGGUAAGGCCAUUGAUUGGGGCUAAGUCGUAACAAGGUA
rnacentral:rRNA from 1 species